AUUGAACGCUGGCGGCAGGCCUAACACAUGCAAGUCGAGCGGAUCGGCGGACGGGUGCGUAAUGCCUAGGACUCUGCAUGGUCGUGGUGGAUAACGUUCGGAACCGGGCGCUAAUACCGCAUACUCUCAGCUGAGCCUAGGUCGGAUUAGCUAGUGGGUGGGGUAAAGGCCUACCAAGGCGACGAUCCGUAACUGGUCUGAGAGGAUGAUCAGUCACACUGGAACUGAGACACGGUCCAGACUCCUACGGGAGGCAGCAGUGGGGAAUAUUGGACAAUGGGCGAAAGCCUGAUGCAGCCAUGCCGCGUGUGUGAAGAAGGUCUUCGGAUUGUAAAGCACUUUAAGUUGGGAGGCGUUACCAACAGAAGAAGCACCGGCUAACUUCGUGCCAGCAGCCGCGGUAAUAC
rnacentral:rRNA from 1 species